CAGGAUGUGGCUGAGUUAGUUAAGCAUUUCACUUACACCGAAAAUACGUCCAUGCAAAUUGGACUUUCCUGA
rnacentral:tRNA from 1 species